AACGAACGCUGGCGGCAGGCUUAACACAUGCAAGUCGAACGGUUGUAGCAAUACAGCAGUGGCGCACGGGUGAGUAACGCGUGGGAACGUGCCCUUCAGUACGGAACAACACCGGGAAACUGGUGCUAAUACCGUAUAUUCCCUUAGGGGGAAAGAUUUAUCGCUGAAGGAUCGGCCCGCGUUAGAUUAGCUAGUUGGUGGGGUAAUGGCCUACCAAGGCUCCGAUCUAUAGCUGGUCUGAGAGGAUGACCAGCCACACUGGAACUGAGACACGGUCCAGACUCCUACGGGAGGCAGCAGUGGGGAAUAUUGGACAAUGGGGGAAACCCUGAUCCAGCCAUGCCGCGUGAGUGAUGAAGGCCUUAGGGUUGUAAAGCUCUUUUGUCAGGGAAGAUGAUGACGGUACCUGAAGAAUAAGCACCGGCUAACUUCGUGCCAGCAGCCGCGGUAAU
rnacentral:rRNA from 1 species